rnacentral:rRNA from 1 species
UACGAAGGGGGCUAGCGUUGCUCGGAAUUACUGGGCGUAAAGGGCGCGUAGGCGGAUAGUUCAGUCAGAGGUGAAAGCCCAGGGCUCAACCUUGGAACUGCCUUUGAUACUGGCUAUCUUGAGUUUGGGAGAGGUGUGUGGAACUCCGAGUGUAGAGGUGAAAUUCGUAGAUAUUCGGAAGAACACCAGUGGCGAAGGCGACACACUGGCCCAAUACUGACGCUGAGGCUCGAAAGCGUGGGGAGCAAACAGG